rnacentral:tRNA from 1 species
GCGAGCGUGGCGGAAUUGGUUGACGCACUAGCCUUAGGAGCUAGCGGACGAAAGUCCUUGGGGGUUCGAGUCCCCCCGCUCGCA